AGCUUUAUAGUCAAAAUAAUGAUAUUAGAUUGCAAAUCUAUUGGUGAAAUUCAUUUCUAAAGCUU
rnacentral:tRNA from 1 species